GGAUUAAUAGGCCGGAGGUGUACGCCCAGUGAUGGGUUCAGCUGACCGGUACUACUACGCCGAGGCCUUUUCCUC
rnacentral:rRNA from 1 species